rnacentral:lncRNA from 1 species
UGGACCCGGCGCCUUGCCCCCAGAUCUGCAUCGGAAUGCAGAAAAGAUCUUAAAAAAAAAAAAAAGUUUUGAAUUCCUCAAUGAUUUUUCUUCUGGAAAGGCAGCUUAGGAUAAUUAUUUCAGCUUUAUUGAGGGCAGAUUAGUUGAAGUCUGGGCGCUGCGUUUCAAUACGCGUUGUACACGGGCCGACAAUGUGG